CCUACGGGAGGCAGCAGUGAGGAAUAUUGGUCAAUGGGCUUACGCCUGAACCAGCCAAGUCGCGUGAGGGAAGACUGCCCUAUGGGUUGUAAACCUCUUUUGUCAGGGAGCAACGCCGGCUACGUGUAGCCGGAGUGAGAGUACCUGAAGAAAAAGCAUCGGCUAACUCCGUGCCAGCAGCCGCGGUAAUACGGAGGAUGCGAGCGUUAUCCGGAUUUAUUGGGUUUAAAGGGUGCGUAGGCGGAAUGCCAAGUCAGCGGUAAAAUCUCGGGGCUCAACCUCGCUCCGCCGUUGAAACUGGUGUUCUUGAGUGGGCGAGAAGUAUGCGGAAUGCGUGGUGUAGCGGUGAAAUGCAUAGAUAUCACGCAGAACUCCGAUUGCGAAGGCAGCAUACCGGCGCCCAACUGACGCUGAAGCACGAAAGCGUGGGUAUCGAACAGGAUUAGAUACCCUUGUAGUC
rnacentral:rRNA from 1 species